GUUGCACCAAAGUGGAUUGAAGUAAAGAGUCACGUUCAAACCGGCUGUUAUGAAUGUGGAUAUUACAUAAUGCAUUGGAUCUGGAACAUCAUAGCCAGCGACAUAAAGAGUGAUUGGUCCAUGUGGUUUGCUAAUGACACACCGUUGGACAUCGGCAUCAUCACCACAAUUCAAAAGAAAUGGG